UGGUUCAUCCACUUCAUUAUCAGGAA
rnacentral:piRNA from 1 species